CUUGCUGGUCCGUAGUCUGGAAUUUAACCACACAAUUGCUGGAUUUCCUUCCCAAAGCAAGACCGUUACAGACCUGGAGAAAAUAUCAUUCUGCUCAAAGAAACUUCAAAUAAAUUAGAAAGAAGAAAUAGAAAAAUCAAGGAAUGGUUUGAUAAGGUUUGACCAGAAGAUGUUUUCUUACUGCUGAAACCUUGCUACAUCAUCCACUAGAAAAGGCCAGUGAUAUCAUGGGGUGAUAUGCUCCUGAAUUGCUCCUGAAUUGGAUUUAAGUGAGGCAGAGAGUUGCACAGUCUUCAGUCUUACUCUCUCUUCUACAAUCCAAUGGCAAGACAAAAGUCAAGAAGACAGGUGAUGGCCAGGAUGCAGUGGAUGACCUUUCAUCUUCAAUGUUUGACCAAGCUCUAAGUGCUCCCCACAGAACCUGCUUCAGCCGCUUUCAUGACUGUUGGAACAAAUUCUUCUCAUUUGCUCAUUCUGAUGGUGGAUGUCUUCACACACUUGGAGUAAACACCCUAGUAACUCACCAAUAGGUUUGAAGCUAGUUGGUUACCCUUAGCCUGGUUUAGCCUAUCUGCCAAGAUGAGAAUAUUUUACUGGGGUGUGGCUGCUGUGCAUUCUUCAGCUCCUUGGAGCCACAGCUGAGACAGUUAGGUAACAAGUAGACACCAAAGGUGGAUGAACAGCCCUGAAAAGGGCUUGGCAAGCCUUCAUGCCUGGGGUGCUAGUCCUUUUUGAACUCUACUGUAACCGGAGUAAUGAAGACCUGAAUUCAAACCCAGAUACUGUCACAAUAUUGUGUGACUGUGAACAAAAUCGUUAUCCCCAAUGGAACCAUUCAAUAUACCAUAGCAUUUUUUUAAAGAAGAAAAAAAAAUCUUCACAAAUGAUUGAUACGUUGAAAAAGUCUGAAAAUGUGCACCUAUGUAAGACCUGUGGACUUCUCACCUCUAUGAAGGGCUUGGUUGGAGGUGUCCUCUAUUAACUUUUAAUUUGAGUCAUGCUUGAUCUUUAUAAUAUUAUUACAUUCUCUCUCCCUCUCUCUCUC